CGUAGGUGCAAGCGUUGUCCGGAAUUAUUGGGCGUAAAGAGCUCGUAGGCGGUCUGUCGCGUCGAAUGUGAAAAUCCGAGGCUCAACCUCGGACCUGCAUUCGAUACGGGCAGACUAGAGUUCGGUAGGGGAGUCUGGAAUUCCUGGUGUAGCGGUGAAAUGCGCAGAUAUCAGGAGGAACACCGGUGGCGAAGGCGGGACUCUGGGCCGAUACUGACGCUGAGGAGCGAAAGCGUGGGGGAGCAAACAGGAUU
rnacentral:rRNA from 1 species